UACAUGGGGUGCAAACGUUUGCUCGGAAUUAUUGGGCGUAAAGCGCACGUAGGCGGUUCGUUAAGUCGGAUGUGAAAGCCCUCGGCUCAACUGAGGAAGUGCACCCGAAACUGGCGAGCUUGAGUACGAAAAGAGGAUCGCGGAAUUCCCGGUGUAGAGGUGAAAUUCGUAGAUAUCGGGAGGAACACCGGUGGCGAAGGCGGCGAUCUGGGUCGAUACUGACGCUGAGGUGCGAAAGCGUGGGGAGCAAACAGG
rnacentral:rRNA from 1 species